rnacentral:rRNA from 1 species
CCAAAGGGAUGCCUCAGUAGCGGCGAGUGAAGCGGCAAAAGCUCAAAUUUGAAAUCUGGCGUCUUUGGCGUCCGAGUUGUAAUUUGAAGAAGGUAUCUUUGGGCCCGGCUCUUGUCUAUGUUCCUUGGAACAGGACGUCACAGAGGGUGAGAAUCCCGUGCGAUGAGAUGACCCGGGUCUGUGUAAAGUUCCUUCGACGAGUCGAGUUGUUUGGGAAUGCAGCUCUAAGUGGGUGGUAAAUUCCAUCUAAAGCUAAAUAUUGGCGAGAGACCGAUAGCGAACAAGUACAGUGAUGGAAAGAUGAAAAGAACUUUGAAAAGAGAGUGAAAAAGUACGUGAAAUUGUUGAAAGGGAAGGGCUUGAGAUCAGACUUGGUAUUUUGCAUGCUGCUCUCUCGGGGGCGGCCGCUGCGGUUUACCGGGCCAGCAUCGGUUUGGAGCGGCAGGAUAAUGGCGGAGGAAUGUGGCACGGCUUCUGCUGUGUGUUAUAGCCUCUGACGAUACUGCCAGCCUAGACCGAGGACUGCGGUUUUUACCUAGGAUGUUGGCAUAAUGAUCUUAAGUCGCCCGUCUUGACCACA